AUGCUUCCGGCCCGGAUGGAGGAGCUGAAGAAAUCUGCUGCUCGAACCGGAGCUAUUAACGCUUUGAUCCGGGCAAAGGCAUGGGUGCCAGAUUUCGACCCUGUGGAAGCAUCUCAAGGCUAUCCCAGCCUGAAGGAAGAUGGCUCUGAAUUUAACGAAGAGGAUUUAAGGGCAAUAAACCGUGCAGUGCGCCCUCUGGCUUGUCAGUUAGCUGAAGAGGCAGACUUGACGCAUUAUCAAGCUCAAUACAAUGACCAGAACAAGCGAGUGCCUGCCCCAACUCUUGAAGCGGAGAAUCUGAUCCCUCCAAUCCGUAAGCACACUUACGCUCCUGAUAUUGAACCGUCUUCCCUAAUCUAUGAAGAGGCUGUUUUCCAAGCUUUAAUGGGAAUCGACUAG
rnacentral:rRNA from 1 species